rnacentral:rRNA from 1 species
AACGAACGCUGGCGGCAUGCCUAACACAUGCAAGUCGAACGAGACCUUCGGGUCUAGUGGCGCACGGGUGCGUAACGCGUGGGAACCUGCCCUUAGGUUCGGAAUAACUCCCCGAAAGGGGUGCUAAUACCGGAUAAUGUCUUCGGACCAAAGAUUUACCGCCUUUGGAUGGGCCCGCGUUGGAUUAGCUAGUUGGUAGGGUAAAAGCCUACCAAGGCGACGAUCCAUAGCUGGUCUGAGAGGAUGAUCAGCCACACUGGGACUGGGACACGGCCCAGACUCCUACGGGAGGCAGCAGUGGGGAAUAUUGGACAAUGGGCGAAAGCCUGAUCCAGCAAUGCCGCGUGAGUGAUGAAGGCCUUAGGGUUGUAAAGCUCUUUUACCCGGGAUGAUAAUGACAGUACCGGGAGAAUAAGCUCCGGCUAACUCCGUG